UUAUUUUAUUUUAUUUUUGUAUUGUUUGUAUAGGUGUGAAUUUGGCAUUUUGUUUCCAUUUGAGGUCGUGUUCGAGGCACAAAACAGAACCAUCCUUAGCACCUACCCACCCGGUCACCCCUCCUCAUUUUCCUUACAUGCUCAUUAUAGGACAUCACAACUUGAAAAAAGUUGAGUUAUCGUUCUCUCUAGGAAAGGUUCUGUUCUUAUCUUUCCCACCGCUUCACAGACGCAUUUCUCACCGCUUCCCCUGCUCGCCGGCGAUCGGCGUUUUCUCCUUUGCCGUUGUCAGCGAGUCCUCUUCUAAAUUAAUUCCUUUAAUUUUAUGUGUUUCCUUUUUUUUUUUUUUUUUUUGUUGCACAAUAAAGAAGACUAGGAAGAUUGAAGUACUGAAUUUCCUUUAAUACCAAUCGGAGGUUGGUUAAGGUGUUGGUGAGGUUCUAAUUAUCCAAUGAAACAAGAAGCCAAGGCUACUCUUAAUGCCACCGUCGAAAGGAAAUUCGCUAAUCGUGUUCCUGGUGGUAAAUGUGAAGUUAAGGCUAAGGUUUUCUCCCUUAAUCCAAGGUUUGGGUUUCAGUGAGGGGUCUUCUUGCGUUGGUCUUUGAAGGCUUUUGUUGGGGUUAGGUUUCGAUUCCGUCGGUGAGGUAGUUCUUUAUGUUCUCCUCAUUGCGUUCAAGCUACAAUCUCUAUUCAUCUCGAGUUAUUUGGUUAGUUUGGCAAUGCUCGGUCCACAUCACAGAUCCAGUAAAUUGUUGUUGGUUUUCUCGGCUCCGAAGUCAAUGGUGUUAUAUAAAUGGCGGUCAUCACAGGUGGUUAUGAUAUGGUGGUCAUCAUUGGUGUUAUGCUAUGGUUCAUAAGGAUUCCCAUUCCUGUUAGCGUGUUUGGUUUGAUAUGUUGGGUUGUAAUUUUCUUAGUUUCUUUACUCUUCUUAGAUUGUAAUCAUGUUUGUCGUUAAUAGAAUCUUUUGUCAAAAAAAAUAAUUUAAAAAUUGCCUAUGCUGCCA